rnacentral:rRNA from 1 species
UACGUAGGGAGCAAGCGUUGUUCGGAUUUACUGGGCGUAAAGGGCGCGUAGGCGGCCUGUCAAGUCAACUGUGAAAUCUCCGGGCUUAACUCGGAACGGUCAGUUGAUACUGUCAGGCUAGAGUGCAGAAGGGGCAAUCAGAAUUCUUGGUGUAGCGGUGAAAUGCGUAGAUAUCUGGAGGAAUACCGGUGGCGAAGGCGGCAUCCUGGACCGAGAUUGACACUGAGGAGCGAAAGCUAGGGGAGCAAACGGG